UACGUAGGGGGCUAGCGUUGUCCGGAAUCAUUGGGCGUAAAGCGCGCGUAGGCGGCCAGACAAGUCCGGUGUGAAAGUCACAGGCUCAACCUGUGAAUGCCGCUGGAAACUGUCUGGCUAGAGUCCGGAAGGGGCGAGUGGAAUUCCUGGUGUAGCGGUGAAAUGCGCAGAUAUCAGGAGGAACACCUAUGGCGAAGGCAGCU
rnacentral:rRNA from 1 species